rnacentral:rRNA from 1 species
UACGGGGGGGGCAAGCGUUGUUCGGAAUUACUAGGCGUAAAGGGCUCGUAGGCGGCCAACUAAGUCGGACGUGAAAUCCCCAGGCUCAACCUGGGAACUGCGUCCGAUACUGGAUGGCUUGAAUUCGGGAGAGGGAUGCAGAAUUCCAGGUGUAGCGGUGAAAUGCGUAGAUAUCUGGAGGAAUACCGGUGGCGAAGGCGGCAUCCUGGACCGACAUUGACGCUGAGGAGCGAAAGCUAGGGGAGCAAACGGG